UCUUUCUUAGUCCGGAUCGGCAAAAGUCGAAAAGCCGAAAUGCCGAAAACCGGUAUUUUGUAGAUUUGCAAGUGUGCGAAUGCUCGUGAGGAAAUCCCCAACCAUAGUGGGCUUGGAGUUGUGAGGGAAUUCGGAGUGGCCACCCGUUCUGAAAGUUUGAUUUUCUUCUGGUGAACUGGACAUCCUUUUAUUUAUAUUUGAAGUUUUUGGGCUUUUAAAUGUAAUAAGGCCGCUUAAUUAGUUUUGAUGGUUUUAA